rnacentral:rRNA from 1 species
GUGGGGAAUAUUGGACAAUGGGCGAAAGCCUGAUCCAGCCAUGCCGCGUGUGUGAAGAAGGUCUUCGGAUUGUAAAGCACUUUAAGUUGGGAGGAAGGGUAGUAACCUAAUACGUUAGUGUUUUGACGUUACCGACAGAAUAAGCACCGGCUAACUUCGUGCCAGCAGCCGCGGUAAUACGAAGGGUGCAAGCGUUAAUCGGAAUUACUGGGCGUAAAGCGCGCGUAGGUGGUUUUGUAAGUUGGAGGUGAAAUCCCCGGGCUCAACCUGGGAACUGCCUCCAAAACUGCAUGACUAGAGUACGGUAGAGGGUAGUGGAAUUUCCUGUGUAGCGGUGAAAUGCGUAGAUAUAGGAAGGAACACCAGUGGCGAAGGCGACUACCUGGACUGAUACUGACACUGAGGUGCGAAAGCGUGGGGAGCAAACAGGAUUAGAAACCCUGGUAGUCC